CUCUUUUUUCUUCUUUUUCUUUCUCCCAUAUCCGAUUUCCUCCAUUGCUGAUGCCUUCUCCAUUUCCGUCACCAAUUUCACGUGAUUUUAUUCUUAAAACUCAAAUCUACACCACCAAAACCUUCCAAGUGAGAAUGCUCCGGUUCUUCUGAAAGAAGGAGAUGAAAAUUAUCGGAGAAAUAUUUUCGGUGGUGUUAAUUUGGUGAAGGUAGGAUAUGGUUAUUCAAAUUUUGAAGGUGCUGUUCACCGUGAAGCUUUAGAUCUGAAGGAAACAAGACCUUCAAAAUCUGAAUAACCAUAUCCUACCUUUACCCAAUUAACACCACUAAAAAAAAUUUCUUCGACAAUUUUCAUCUCCUUCAGGUCAGAAGAACCUGUGGGGUUUGUGAUAGUAAAAUUAGCAGGAAUUCAUGAGUUUUGUCAAGUUAAAUUGGUGACAGAAAAUGGAAAAGGCAUCAGCAGUGGAGGAACUCGUAUAUGGGUGAAAGAGAAAAUGGAAAAAAAAAGAGAAGAAAAGAAAAGAAGAAAGAAAAGAGAUAUGUAAACAAAAAAAAAGUACUAAUAAAAAAAAAUAGUGUUUGUAAUAUAUUUUAGUACAAUUAACGAAAGAGCUAAUUAGUUUGGGUCGAUUCCGUUUCAAAAAGGGUAUAUAUGACCAAUAUGUGACGGUAAUGGCAUGUAUGGGCUAAAGUAUUAACUAAGGUCGAAUGUGCUCAAUUUACAAGGUUCUACGGAGUUUUCUAUAUCAACUGCAAACUGAGGAUUCCACUGGCUGCAAUAUGGACUUCUUAAUUAAGAACCUAAUCGAAUUUCAAUACCUACAGUCUCUUUAUACCAGUGUCUUCAGCAGUAGACGCGUUAGAUGCACUGAACUCUCAGGGGCCGUGUAUAGAUAUUAUACUUGCUGAAGCCUCUCUCCUUAUAUCCAAUGGCACGAAGAUUUUCAAUUUCAUCAAGCUGGAUAUGAAUUUAAAACACAUUCCUGUGAUCAUGAUGUUGGACGAGGACGAAGUCCCUCUCGUCUUGAAAGGAUUGGUGCUUGGAGCAACAGAUUAUCUUGUCAAACCAUUCAGCAGUAUUGAGCUAAUGAAGCUGUGGACUCACAUGAAAAGAAACAGCACAAAGUUAGUAUAUUAAUAAGAUUCUCUUAGUGAUGUUAAAUGUGUUAUUCUUACUUAAGCAAAAUAAUGGAGAGUUUUCCAACUGAUGGAAUAUCACUUCAUGAAAUUCUUCCUCUGAAGUACAACCUUUAUGUGGUGGAAAACUACUCUUGAUGAUAUUUACCAAUUAUUAGAUCAAAUGUUUGGCAUAAAUAAUAGAUGCCAAGGGACUGAAAUUGAAAAUGUUCUUUAUUAAUUAGUUUCUCAAGUUAUUUAAGUAUUGGUUUGAUUAUAAAGGACACUGUUUGUUGCUAAA